rnacentral:rRNA from 1 species
UACGAGGGGGGCAAGCGUUGUUCGGAUUUAUUGGGCGUAAAGGGUGCGUAGGCGGUCUGGCAAGUCUUGUGUGAAAUCUUCGGGCUCAACCCGAAGUCUGCACAAGAAACUGCCGGGCUUGAGUAUGGGAGAGGUGAGUGGAAUUUCCGGUGUGGCGGUGAAAUGCGUAGAUAUCGGAAGGAACACCUGUGGCGAAAGCGGCUCACUGGACCAUAACUGACGCUGAGGCACGAAAGCUAGGGGAGCAAACAGG